UACGUAGGUGGCAAGCGUUGUCCGGAUUUACUGGGCGUAAAGAGCGCGCAGGCGGUCGUGCAAGUCGCGUGUGAAAGCCCCCGGCUCAACUGGGGAGGGUCACGCGAUACUGCUCGACUCGAAGGCAGGAGAGGGAAGUGGAAUUCCCGGUGUAGUGGUGAAAUGCGUAGAUAUCAGGAGGAACACCAAUGGCGAAGGCAGCGCGCUGGGCCGGUACUGACGCUGAGGAGCGAAAGCGUGGGGAGCGAACAGG
rnacentral:rRNA from 1 species